CGAGCGUUAGCUCAGAUGGAUAGAGCACCCGCCUUCUAAGCGGGUGGUCGCGGGUUCGAAUCCUGCACGCUCGGCCA
rnacentral:tRNA from 1 species